rnacentral:rRNA from 1 species
GGAGUUAGCCGGUGCUUCUUCUGUGAGUGAUGUCCUUCCUGCCGGCUAUUAACCCGCAGGCCUUCUUCCUCACUGAAAGUGCUUUACAACCCGAAGGCCUUCUUCACACACGCGGCAUGGCUGGAUCAGGGUUGCCCCCAUUGUCCAAUAUUCCCCACUGCUGCCUCCCGUAGGAGUCUGGGCCGUGUCUCAGUCCCAGUGUGGCUGAUCAUCCUCUCAGACCAGCUACGGAUCGUCGCCUUGGUGAGCCGUUACCUCACCAACCAGCUAAUCCGACAUAGGCUCAUCCGAUAGCGCGAGGCCCGAAGGUCCCCCGCUUUCCCCCGUAGGGCGUAUGCGGUAUUAGCCUGGGUUUCCCCAGGUUAUCCCCCACUACCGGGCAGAUUCCUAUGCAUUACUCACCCGUCCGCCGCUCGCCACCAGGGAGCAAGCUCCCCGUGCUGCCGCUCGACUUGCAUGUGUUAGGCCUGCCGCCAGCGUUCAAUCUGAACCAAGAUCAAACUACUGA